AUCUGCGAAAUUCGGUUGUUGUUCAAGAAUCUGUGUUGGAGACAACAAAGAGAACAUGCUUGAGUGACCGUCAAAGACUUGGGGAUUAAAGGUACGCCCAUGUAGCUGUUCCAGAGAAUGCAGCCCCUCGAAAGCCUGGCUCUGAAUGCUUUGGAUUUCGUUCUUGUAAAGGAUUAUUCGAAGACUUCAGAAGUCAUACAAUCAACUAUGAGAACCCAGCAGAUUGAUUAAUAAAAGGUGAGUUUCACAUUUAACCAUCCCCCAAUUUAUUGGGA